GCCCGUCUAGCUCAGUUGGUAGAGCGGCAAGGCUCUUAACCUUGUGGUCGUGGGUCCGAGCCCCACGGUGGGCG
rnacentral:tRNA from 1 species